rnacentral:rRNA from 1 species
CCUACGGGGGGCAGCAGUGGGGGAUAUUGCACAAUGGGGGGAACCCUGAUGCAGCGACGCCGCGUGGGUGAAGGAGCUUUUCUGCGCGUAAAGCCCUAUCGGCAGGGAAGAAGAUGACGGUACCUGACCAAGAAGCCCCGGCUAACUACGUGCCAGCAGCCGCGGUCAUACGUAGGGGGCAAGCGUUAUCCGGAUUUACUGGGUGUAAAGGGGGCGCAGACGGGAAUGCAAGGCAGGAGGGAAAGCCCGGGGCCCAACCCCGGGACUGCUGUUGGAACUGCAUGGCUGGAGUGUGUGAGAGGAUAGUGGAAUUCGAGGUGUAGGAGUGAAAUCCGUAGAUAUCUGGAGGAACAUCAGUGGCGAAGGCGACUAGCUGGCACAUAACUGACGCUGAGGAGCGAAAGCGUGGGUAGCAAACAGGAUUAGAUACCCCAGUAGUC